AAUUAAACAUCUAAGAGUGUAUGGUGGAUGCCUUGGCAGUUUAAGCCUAAGAAGGACGUAGCAGCCAACGAUAACUUCGGUGAGGUGGCAAGCAACCUUUGACCCGGAGAUUUCCGAAUGGGGCAACCUAUCCUGUUGAAGACAGGAUGUCAUUUAGCCGUGGUGGCUAAGUAGACGGGAUACCGCGUGAAGUGAAACAUCUCAGUAACGCGAGGAAAAGAAAAAAAGGGCAUUACACUAGAAUUUCUAAUGAUUAAUUUUUAAUUUUAAAUGAAUUUUUAAUAAUUAAAUAUUAAUCAUUCAAUAUAAAUUGAAAAUUGAAAAUUGGAAAUUCUAUGUAUUGUCUCAUUCUCCUAGUAGUGGCGAGCGAACGGGGAAGAGUCCAAACUAACUUUGUGUUUUCGAUGCCUGCGCGCAAUCGCAAGAUUGUCGCCGGCGUUGAUUUAAAGCUUACAGGCGUUGCAAGGAUUAGGGUAACAACAAUCAUUCAUUAGAUCACUGUAAUGAUCUAGGAGAUUUCAAUUAGAGCUGUUUAGCCGAAUGGCCCUGGAAAGGCCAGCCAAAGAGCGUGAUAGCCGCGUAGCGCGAAAAACCUC
rnacentral:ncRNA from 1 species